rnacentral:rRNA from 1 species
CCUACGGGUGGCAGCAGUGGGGAAUAUUGGACAAUGGGCGAAAGCCUGAUCCAGCCAUGCCGCGUGUGUGAAGAAGGCCUUCGGGUUGUAAAGCACUUUCAGUGGGGAAGAAAGCCUUGGGGCUAAUACCCUCGAGGAAGGACAUCACCCACAGAAGAAGCACCGGCUAACUCCGUGCCAGCAGCCGCGGUAAUACGGAGGGUGCGAGCGUUAAUCGGAAUUACUGGGCGUAAAGCGCGCGUAGGCGGUCUGAUAAGCCGGUUGUGAAAGCCCCGGGCUCAACCUGGGAACGGCAUCCGGAACUGUCAGGCUAGAGUGCAGGAGAGGAAGGUAGAAUUCCCGGUGUAGCGGUGAAAUGCGUAGAGAUCGGGAGGAAUACCAGUGGCGAAGGCAGCCUUCUGGACUGACACUGACGCUGAGGUACGAAAGCGUGGGUAGCAAACAGGAUUAGAUACCCCUGUAGUC